AUCGCUUCUCGGCCUUUUGGCUAAGAUCAAGUGUAGAAUCAGCUCUGCUUCAGACUGUCAGAUGGGCCUUUGACGUACUUUGUCAGGAUUUUAGCUGUGGCAUCACUUUGCUCUGGGUAUAGUUGGAAGCAGGUCAACCUGUGACUUCUGCCUUAAUAAAAUGUUCUUGUUAUUAGCUUACC